rnacentral:rRNA from 1 species
CCUACGGGUGGCAGCAGUCGAGAAUCAUUCACAAUGGGGGAAACCCUGAUGGUGCGACGCCGCGUGGGGGAAUGAAGGUCUUCGGAUUGUAAACCCCUGUCAUGUGGGGGCAAAUUAAAAAGAUAGUACCACAAGAGGAAGAGACGGCUAACUCUGUGCCAGCAGCCGCGGUAAUACAGAUGUCUCAAGCGUUGUUCGGAAUCACUGGGCGUAAAGCGUGCGUAGGCUGUUUCGUAAGUCGUGUGUGAAAGGCGCGGGCUCAACCCGCGGACGGCACAUGAUACUGCGAGACUAGAGUAGUGGAGGGGGAACCGGAAUGCUCGGUGUAGCAGUGAAAUGCGUAGAUAUCGAGAGGAACACUCGUGGCGAAGGCGGGUUCCUGGACAUUAACUGACGCUGAGGCACGAAGGCCAGGGGAGCGAAAGGGAUUAGAUACCCGGGUAGUC